AUGGAUCUGGAGGGCCCCCCGCCCCACUCUGCACACACUUCUGCCUUUGGCCAGUCCCGCUCCUCUUCCUUCUCUGGGGCUGAGCCAGGGCCCACAGCGCUACAGGGGCCCAAGGGGCUGCGGUGCCACAGUGAGAGGGCCACCCAGAGCUUCAACCGCAGCAGCAGCGUGGCUGAGGGGCCUCAGAGGGGCCGACUGCUGGCCAAUACACAGCAGCUGGUCCUGCUCUACCCCAGCCCUCACUCCCACCUUUACCCCUACCCCUGCCUGGAGCUGCACCCCAUCCUGCCCCUCUCUGCUCAGGCCUACAUGUCUGGCUGCUCCUCUUUCUCCUUGGACCACGCUCCAGCCCCACUGCCUCUGUCCCACUACGGCCCAAGGCCUGCUCCCCAGGCCGCCCUCCUGGACGAGUUCAUCCGCUCCUCCAGUUUCUCCAACCCCUCCUCCUUGUCUCCCGGUCUGCGGCGCCAGCGUCAUCGCUACAACGUGCCUCCAAGCAUGGCUAUUGCUCCGGGGCUGUAUGCUGCCACUCUGGCUGGUUGUGGUGCUGGUCGGAGGGAAUUUGGCAGAGAGGAGACGGCAGGCCACUUCAGUGAUGACUCCAGCUACCAGGCAGGCCUACCCAAGCGCUCCUGGAGCCAUUCUGAUGUGAAGGUCCUCCGGCCUUCUGCCCCAGCAGCAGAGUUCCGCCCUCUAGGUCACUACCCUCACCUAUCACGCCGACACUCGCCUGCACGCCCAACACACCUCCCUCUUAACCUGUCCCCCAUGCCUGAACGGCCCGCCUCUGUGUGCGUGCUAGGGGCCGGGAGCAGGACAGGGAGUGGAGAGAUCAGCCUCAGUGACUCGGACGUCAUGUUCCCAUACUACUGCCCAGGGAAACUGGUGCGCUCUGGCCCCCUGGCUCGGAUGCGCAUUUCAUCUGGUAGUCUGCAGCUGGACGAGGGGGAGGAAGACUCCUUUAACUUAAGUGACCCUGAAGGCAGUGCAGCAACAAAGCGGUCAUGA
rnacentral:lncRNA from 1 species